GAUCUGGUGGUGUAGAGGUAUCACACCCAUUCCACUUCCGAUUUGAGAUGUAGCAGGUUUUAUGGGAGUCCCUGGUUCGAAUCCGGGUCAGGUCA